GGACUUCCGGCCAGUGGGGGCCGCUGCCCCCGGGUCUCCGUCCGGGCGCGCCCUUUCCUUCUGCCCAGUGGCUUGGCGCGUCCGGGUCACAUCUGUGCUCUCGCAGAGCGGACCUCUGGGCCUCUUCUGCCCGCGACCCGAGCUCCCGAUGGGGCCCUGGCCUGGGGUCUCCAGCCGCCUUCCCAGGGUCUGUCCCGGCUUCUCCAGCGCCCACCGUGCCGCGAUCUUAUGUUGCCACAGCGACGGCUUCAUUUCUCUUUGCCUCUUUCAAGCAACCAUACCGCCAGGUCUCCCCCCCGAGUCUGCUGCUUGUAGGGCCAGGUCCCGGGCUCCGAGCGGACUCUCGCCCCGUCCCAGCCUCCUCUUCCUGCCCGGGUUUCCCAGAGAGGGCUUCCGGCUCAUCUGUGACUUGCUUGCCGUGCACCUGCCAGGCUGCAGCUCCAGGGCCUCAGGGGCGAAGGUGGUCUCUCCAGUUUCUUGCCGGUGGAGCACCAUCCUCACCGAGCUGCACAGCGGAGCUCUUCAUUGCUGGGGCCGGAGAAGGGAGCAGAGGAGGCCCCCAGCUGCCUUUCAUCGCUCCAGCGUGGAGAGACACGAGGUGCUUCUGCUGGGCCGCACUGGCCAGUUAGUCCUGUGCUCACCUAACAGCCGGGGUCUGCAGGGGCCGAUCAGCUCCCGGAAGAAGAGAGCUGGGCAUAGCGAGCACUUGAAGUGUCCACCACAAUGGCCCCAGACAUUUUGUUGACUCAAAUCUCCCGGAGCCCCUGGCCCUGGCUGUGGGAUGGACCCACAUCCCUGUACGCAUCCUGUCCUCCCCUUUCACGAGAUGGGCAGGAGUGGGCUGCAGAAACGCAGGCUGGCUGCCGUCCCGCCCUUUCCCCCUGCCAGGACUGGGUGCUCCUUCGGGAAUGAGGAAGCCCUCGGGCUGGGCUCAGAAUGGAGAGUCCAGCGUCAUCCCAAGACGCUGUCAGCCCCUGCCCAGGGCCGUCUGCUGGAGACGGAGUCCCUCCCCUUGCUGUGCUGCGGGCGGCUUCCCCAGGCUCCCCAGUCCUGGGCCAGGCUGAAGCCCCGGGAGUGUGAGCAGACUGGCUCUCAGGGCUGCCCGCUUGGGGCGUCCUCAGCCUCUGUCUGUCUGCAGCACGCAGAGCUUUGGCCGUCGGCUGCAGUGCAGCCAGGGGCCUGAGUUACCUCAUCUCGUCCACACUCGCGUGGCCAAAGCCUGUCGCAGACAAAACACCAAUAAAUGCCCGGGCCCGGGAAACAGGGCUGAGGAGUGGGAAGCAAGCUUGUUCUAUGGCCCAAAACUG
rnacentral:lncRNA from 1 species